rnacentral:misc_RNA from 1 species
GAUGAAGAACGCAGCGAAAUGCGAUAAGUAAUGUGAAUUGCAGAAUUCAGUGAAUCAUCGAAUCUUUGAACGCACAUUGCGCCCCUUGGUAUUCCGAGGGGCAUGCCUGUUCGAGCGUCAUUAUAACCCCUCAAGCUCAGCUUGGUGUUGGGGCCUGCCGCACGGGCAGCCCUUAAAAUCAGUGGCGGUGCCAUCUGGCUCUAAGCGUAGUAAUUCUUCUCGCUAUAGAGUCCCGGUGGAUGCUUGCCAUUAACCCCCAAUUUUCUAUGGUUGACCUCGGGUCAGGUAGGGAUACCCGCUGAACUUAAGCAUAUCAAUAAGCGGAGGA